AUGCUUGUCUCAAAGAUUAAGCCAUGCAUGUCUAAGUAUAAGCAAUUAUACCGCGAAACUGCGAAUGGCUCAUUAUAUAAGUUAUCGUUUAUUUGAUAGCACAUUACUACUUGGAUAACCGUGGUAAUUCUAGAGCUAAUACAUGCUAAAAAUCCCGACUCCGGAAGGGAUGUAUUUAUUAGAUUAAAAACCAAUGCCCUUUGGGCUUACAGGUGAUUCAUGAUAACUUCUCGAAUCGCAUGGCCUUGCGCCGGCGAUGGUUCAUUCAAAUUUCUUCCCUAUCAACUUUCGAUGCGAAGGUAUUGUCUUCGCAUGGUUACAACGGGUAACGGAGGGUUAGGGCUCGACCCCGGAGAAGGAGCCUGAGAAACGGCUACUACAUCCAAGGAAGGCAGCAGGCGCGCAAAUUACCCAAUCCCGACACGGGGAGGUAGUGACAAUAAAUACUGAUACAGGGCUCUUUUGGGUCUUGUAAUUGGAAUGAGUACAAUUUAAAUCCCUUAACGAGGAACAAUUGGAGGGCAAGUCUGGUGCCAGCAGCCGCGGUAAUUCCAGCUCCAAUAGCGUAUAUUAAAGUUGUUGUGGUUAAAAAGCUCGUAGUUGAACCUUGGGCCUGGCUGGCCGGUCCCCCUCACCGGGUGCACUGAUCCAGCCGGGUCUUUCCCUCUGUGGAACCCCAUGGCCUUCACUGGUCGUGGCGGGGAAACAGGACUUUUACUUUGAAAAAAUUAGAGUGCUCCAGGCAGGCCUAUGCUCGAAUACAUUAGCAUGGAAUAAUAGAAUAGGACGUGUGGUUCUAUUUUGUUGGUUUCUAGGACCGCCGUAAUGAUUAAUAGGGACAGUCGGGGGCAUCAGUAUUCAAUUGUCAGAGGUGAAAUUCUUGGAUCUAUUGAAGACUAACUACUGCGAAAGCAUUUGCCAAGGAUGUUUUCAUUGAUAAGGAACGAAAGUUAGGGGAUCGAAGACGAUCAGAUACCGUCGUAGUCUUAACUAUAAACUAUGCCGACUAGGGAUCGGACGAUGUUAUUUUUUGACUCGUUCGGCACCUUUCGAGAAAUCAAAGUGCUUGGGCUCCAGGGGAGUAGUGUCGCAAGGCUGAAAGGAAUUGACGGAAGGGCACCACCAGGGGUGGAACCUGCGGCUUAAUUUGACUCAACACGGGGAAACUCACCAGGUCCAGACACAGUGAGGAUUGACAGAUUGAUAGCUCUUUCUUGAUUCUGUGGGUGGUGGUGCAUGGCCGUUCUUAGUUGGUGGAGUGAUUUGUCUGCUUAAUUGCGAUAACGAACGAGACCUUAACCUGCUAAAUAGCCCGUAUUGCUUUGGCAGUACGCCGGCUUCUUAGAGGGACUAUCGGCUCAAGCCGAUGGAAGUUUGAGGCAAUAACAGGUCUGUGAUGCCCUUAGAUGUCCUGGGCUGCACGCGCGUUACACUGACAGAGCCAGCGAGUUCUUUCCUUGACCGGAAGGUCCGGGUAAUCUUGUUAAACUCUGUCGUGCUGGGGAUAGAGCAUUGCAAUUAUUGCUCUUCAACGAGGAAUCCCUAGUAAGCGCAAGUCAUCAGCUUGCGUUGAUUACGUCCCUGCCCUUUGUACACACCGCCCGUCGCUACUACCGAUUGAAUGGCUCAGUGAGGUUUUCGGACUGACCCAGGGAGGUGGGAAACUACCACCCAGGGCCGGAAAGUUACCCAAACUCGGUCAUUUAGAGGAAGUAAAAGUCGUAACAAGGUCUCCGUAGGUGAA
rnacentral:rRNA from 1 species